rnacentral:tmRNA from 1 species
GGGGCUGUUUCUGGAUUCGACAGGAUUUACGUAACCCUAGGUGCAUGCCGAGGUUAGGUUAUCUCGUAAAAAAACCUAAAAUAAAUAAUUGCAAAUAAAUCGCAAUACGAAUCUGCUGCAUUUGCAUUAGCAGCUUAAAUCUGCCUAAAAACAGAAGAUUUCCUCUCUCCCUAGUCUCCGCUCUUAGAACAGGGAAUCAAGAGAGGUCAAACAUAAAAGAGAUCGCGUAGAUGUCUAGCCUAGGACUCAAACGUUAAAAUUUAAUUAGGCUAGUUUUCAGUUGCGUGUCUGUUCGCAGUUGACAAACAAAAGUAAAGACAGAACUAAGCAUGUAGUACCAAAGGCGUAGAAAUUCUGGACGCGGGUUCAAAUCCCGCCAGCUCCACCC